AGUGAACGCUGGCGGUAGGCCUAACACAUGCAAGUCGAACGGCAGCACAGUAAGAGCUUGCUCUUACGGGUGGCGAGUGGCGGACGGGUGAGGAAUACAUCGGAAUCUACUUUUUCGUGGGGGAUAACGUAGGGAAACUUACGCUAAUACCGCAUACGACCUACGGGUGAAAGCAGGGGAUCUUCGGACCUUGCGCGAUUGAAUGAGCCGAUGUCGGAUUAGCUAGUUGGCGGGGUAAAGGCCCACCAAGGCGACGAUCCGUAGCUGGUCUGAGAGGAUGAUCAGCCACACUGGAACUGAGACACGGUCCAGAGUCCUACGGGAGGCAGCAGUGGGGAAUAUUGGACAAUGGGCGCAAGCCUGAUCCAGCCAUACCGCGUGGGUGAAGAAGGCCUUCGGGUUGUAAAGCCCUUUUGUUGGGAAAGAAAAGCAGCAGGUUAAUACCCCGCUGUUCUGACGGUACCCAAAGAAUAAGCACCGGCUAACUUCGUG
rnacentral:rRNA from 1 species